GUGCUUGCCUCGGCAGCACAUAUACUAAAAUUGGAACGAUACAGAGAAGAUUAGCAUGUCUCCUGAGCAAGGAUGACACACAAAAAUAUGCAUAAUUAUGGUCUUAC